CCUAAUACAUGCAAGUCGAGCGAACAGAUGAGGAGCUUGCUCCUCUGACGUUAGCGGCGGACGGGUGAGUAACACGUGGAUAACCUACCUAUAAGACUGGGAUAACUUCGGGAAACCGGAGCUAAUACCGGAUAAUAUAUUGAACCGCAUGGUUCAAUAGUGAAAGACGGUUUUGCUGUCACUUAUAGAUGGAUCCGCGCCGCAUUAGCUAGUUGGUAAGGUAACGGCUUACCAAGGCAACGAUGCGUAGCCGACCUGAGAGGGUGAUCGGCCACACUGGAACUGAGACACGGUCCAGACUCCUACGGGAGGCAGCAGUAGGGAAUCUUCCGCAAUGGGCGAAAGCCUGACGGAGCAACGCCGCGUGAGUGAUGAAGGUCUUCGGAUCGUAAAACUCUGUUAUUAGGGAAGAACAAAUGUGUAAGUAACUAUGCACGUCUUGACGGUACCUAAUCAGAAAGCCACGGCUAACUACGUGCCAGCAGCCGCGGUAAUACGUAGGUGGCAAGCGUUAUCCGGAAUUAUUGGGCGUAAAGCGCGCGUAGGCGGUUUUUUAAGUCUGAUGUGAAAGCCCACGGCUCAACCGUGGAGGGUCAUUGGAAACUGGAAAACUUGAGUGCAGAAGAGGAAAGUGGAAUUCCAUGUGUAGCGGUGAAAUGCGCAGAGAUAUGGAGGAACACCAGUGGUGAAGGCGACUUUCUGGUCUGUAACUGACGCUGAUGUGCGAAA
rnacentral:rRNA from 1 species